rnacentral:rRNA from 1 species
UACGUAGGGUGCAAGCGUUGUCCGGAAUUAUUGGGCGUAAAGAGCUCGUAGGUGGCCUGUCGCGUCGGCUGUGAAAACUCGGGGCUCAACUCCGAGCUUGCAGUCGAUACGGGCAGGCUAGAGUCCGGCAGGGGAGACUGGAAUUCCUGGUGUAGCGGUGAAAUGCGCAGAUAUCAGGAGGAACACCGGUGGCGAAGGCGGGUCUCUGGGCCGAUACUGACACUGAGGAGCGAAAGCGUGGGGAGCGAACAGG